rnacentral:lncRNA from 1 species
UUUUGUGCGUGUAAUAUCCUCAAUUCGGUCCCCAAAAACAGCUACACAAUGUCUCUCCAAUUUUCUGCCCUAGCCACCGACUUGUAAAAAAAGAAUAAUCCCCAAAAGGAAUUCCAAUUUUCUUUCCCAAGCAGCCUCUGUGAUUCAGUUUGGAGGGCUACACUUGCCUAUAAUUCACCUUGCAAAUACUGGUCUCUUAAACCAAUUUUCAACAUCUUUUAGACAUCCUGUGUAAUCCAAACAUACAAGUUAGAGCAUGGUGAAAAUCGACACAGAACAACCCAUUUGUCGAAAAAUGCGAAUACUAAAUUUGGGCAUGAUAAAAUUGGUAUAUUAUGUUGAAAUUGAUGAGGACCCAUUGUUGUAAUAGUUGGUAUGCUGGAAUGGAUGGUCUGCAACAAUGGGACCAAUUACCAACGCCGGAAUUGAUGGAAGAAGCAAACUGGUUUCUCUAACUAGUUAAGAGUUUCUUCUAAGUUUUGGAUGGUUAUAGGAUCUGUUUGUGUAAUUGAUUGAUGGGGAAG